GAAUGAAAGGUCAUCUUCGGUUCCGUCGGCGGUUCAGCGCCGAGGGAUUCAAAAGGGAACACGGUGCGGCGUACCCAUCAGGGACCAAAACCGUGGCUGCCCCCGCAACUGUAAGCGGAGAGCGAGGCCGAACAUGCCACUGGGGAUAUCCCCGGGAAGGCCGGCCGAGCCCAGACCCGCGAGCCAGGAGACCUGCCGAGGCCACAUGGGGCUU
rnacentral:ncRNA from 2 species